rnacentral:snoRNA from 1 species
UUCAUUGUUGUCAAUGAUGUGUUCUUGGAACUGAAUCUAAGUGAUCUAACGUAAAUACUCGUCACUGCCACUGAGACAACAAUGAA